rnacentral:siRNA from 1 species
AUGCUGUUUUAAUAAGGGUUAAAA